UCAUCAUCCUGCCGCUCCAGCACGAGCUGCGCGGGUGCCCGCGCAGGUGCGCUGAUUGGGAGGUGCACACCUGCGCCUCAUGCAGCCUGAUUAUGCUGUGGAUUUAUAUGACCACGAUGACAACUGGCCGGGGCCAGUUCGUAUUAUCUUCAUGUCCCGUUCGUGUACACCGGUAUCCCUGAUUGAACCGGUGUGUACCGACCUUCGUCCGUUUUCCGACCAACCUUGGGUACUCCAUGUCCUCCCACAAUGCGACUCUGCCAGUGAAUGAGUGCUUCGUCCCCCACAGUGUCCCAGGGGACUAGCAUCUGUCGGCGUGAUUCACUCUCGACUACUAUAAACUCCAUUACCCGCUGUCCUGCUUCUCCGUCAUUCUCAGCCACAUUCCAGGAUCUGCAGGAGUGUCACGGGUGCGCUGGAGCCUAUCCAGCGCCCUAGCUGGGACCAUCAACGCAAUCAAUAUUUGAUGGAGCCACUGUGGGCCUUAAAAAGGGUAUGGGCAGCAUAAAAAAACAGCUCUUUGCAACUCCUUGCUCCCCCCCCGGUCGUCCUGGUAAUGCAAGCUGCACUCUGCAUUGACCUGUAAAAAAAGAUGGUGUGGAAGGAGUGUAGCUGGACAGCUUUGAAUGGUGGUGUGGAAGACAAAUGGUGGUGGACCAAACAAUGAAGAAAACGGGCAGAGGAGAGACCCAUGUGGUGCACCUUUUUGAGAAGAGAUGAGACAGACAAGACAGGAUAUGGCCAAGUGAGUAAUGCCAAGAUUUUGGGUCGGAUUGGACUGUCAAUCUGUGUGUGAGUAGCUGAGCGCAAGUUGAGGUCAACAGCAGGUCCUAGUGAAUUUUUCGUCAUUCUGUAUUUGUGUGCUCGACUGUUUGUGCCAUUCAAUAAACAGCUGAAAGAGCUGACAGAGCAUUGUCAGGGCUAAAUAAAUUACCUCCAAUCAUUGUACAUUUGCUCCACUCUCCCCUCGGGGUUGUGUCCCACACUUUGUGAAGCUAUGCUUCAGUCACUUUCUUGGAUGACUUUUGUCAGCUAAAUAGAAUUUUUUUUUUUCUUUGACAUAAAAUGCCUUACUUCUCUCGUUUACUUUCUACAUUUUCCAAGUGAUUAGUGUCAUACUUACAAUGAAAGAAAUAAUGACAUCCCAUCAAAAAAGCUGUGUCUGUUCAGAUCAAGUGUAGUCUAUGACCUUGAUUUUCAUGUAAUUUAAAAGCCUUAUUUGAAAGCUUUGGCUGUGUUCGAACUCGCCAUAAUUAACAACCAACCUUGCUCA